rnacentral:snoRNA from 1 species
AACCCAUGGUGAUAGCAUCUUCUCAAGAGAUUCUUGUAUCUCUCCCAUGCAUCGUAGAGUGUCUCUAAAUCCAUCUGGACAAAAAAAGAGAUAUAAUUACGUAAUUU